rnacentral:lncRNA from 1 species
CUUCGGGACUCUUUUCGUUUUCUUGUUUCGCUGGCGACAACGACGAAUCUUCUGUAUUUAUAUCAAUACUUACCACAGCAUCGCCUUCUAAACUUUCAGAAGCAACACGACCGAGAUCCAUACCAUUUUCAUCAUCUUCGUUGUCAGAAUCAUUAAUAAUUUUAGUAACUGAUGUUGUUCCAACUUCUGGAAGAUCUUCGUGUCUGUCAUGUUGCUCAUUCACGGAGUUCAUAGGCAGAGCAGGCAUAUUGAUCACAGGUUCAGAGGCAUCCUGCAUUUUGGCAUCGGUCACGUUCAAGCCAAUUGCCGUCUAGACGAGCCAACUUUUAGCAAUGAAAUAUAAGGCGGAGUAUGUCUUUGCUAAGUGUUUUCGGCCUUAAUGUGUCGAACGUUAGAUCUCGGUUCAAUGUGCUACUUAUAUAAAGCAAACGAGCGAGACUUAUAAUAAAUUGUUUUAUUACAGUAUGGAUUAAAUAGUAAACAUUAUAACUAGAUUUAUACAAUAUUCGUUGUUUUACUGAAACUUUUAUUGUCGAUAUUGACCGUGAACGUUUUCUUAUUUCUUUUUUACAGGACAGCAUUCCUUAAACUGUAAAAGGAUUAAGGAAUUAAACAAAAUGUACGAUUUCUACCAUUUUAAACAUGUUCUAAAAAAAAGAAACAAACAAAGUUAAGUAUUAAUAUUAGGCUACAUUUUUUCGUCCCCUUAAAAAUCCCAAAAAAAAAUAUCAUAAAGUUUAAGAAAAGGAUAUCAGUCCAAGGUUUCAAAUUGACCAUUUAAAAAUUCGACAAACAUUUCCUUGAGAACAUUGGUAUUAUAUGAUUGUUGCCGGUUAAUUUGGAUAAAUUGACGGCGCAAUCUUUGAAGUAAAGGAAGAGAUACUGUAACACUGGGUAAUGCGAUUUGAAGUUUGCUCCCUGGUACAGUAAUCAAGGAGGUAUCGUUGGAAUUAUCCAGUAUAAGCAUGAUUACGUCUUGAGUAGUUUUAUCUAAUUCAUAUAAAUAGUUGACUUCAGCUGGAGGUUUUACCAUUGUAGCUUGGUUAGGCUUGACAUUUUUGUUAUGAAUAAGAACUGACCAGAUGUCAUCGAUAGGACAAGAAGCAUCAUCGUGCAAGACAGUAAAUAAAGGGGAAUCCCAUCGUGUCAUUCCAUUCGGUUCUUCAUAACGAAACAUUAAUUGCUCAAGAACAUCGUCAGGAUACGGCUGUUCCUUGUUACUAUUGAAUUUUCGACAUAAAUCUUGAGGAACAGCAACAUGAAUCACACAAUGAGUUGUGUACAUAGACUUUGAUUCACAAUAUAACUGGUAUCGAAAUCCUUUUAUGUAAUUCAAGGCAUCGCAAAUUACGAAUGUAGAUUUUGAAAGUUCACGCUGAACAGCAGAAUAGAGAAGGCCACGAGCGGCCUUUUCGUUCUUGGACUCUAAGACAAAUUAGUUACCAGAAUUACGAAAAAUUGCAUAUACGGAUUCUCCCAUCAUCUAGAGUAGCUGGGCACAAUCUGAAGCCAAAAAUGAAUUGGCUAAUUUCCAAAAACUAAAUCAUUAAAGAUAACUAUUUAAACAUACCUCGAUAUGUUUCUUUUUCAAUGUUUAAACUCUCAUCGUUUAUUAUUAUCACCCGAUAAUCCUUUGUAUUGUCGAUAUUUUGAUGAAUUCGAUCUUCUAAAGCCUUUUUAAGUUCAUUUGACCUCGUUGUUUUCCCUGAAGAUGGAUAACCUGAAACAAUUA